GACAGGAAGACAUCUCUCCCUCUUUCUUAUCUUCAUUUUUUUGGCUUUCUUCCUCCCACCGGAUGCAUUAUUUCCAGAACGGCAACGGAGAGCGACACAACCCCCCCACACACAUAGAGGACUUACCCAACUCUGCACUUUGUUGCUUAGCUUGACUUUCUUGCACUGGCUUGCGGGUAAAUCCAUUUGCAGAGAGUGGGGGAGCCGCGGGGUUGGAAGAGGAAGGAAGGAAAGAAAGAAAGCCACAGCCAAGACAGGCGCCCCGAGCGCAACAAUUCGACACAGUACGGAAGAAGAAGGAGAAAAUAUAAAGCCCGGAGGGGAGGGACGGAGGAAGAGAGAGAGAGAGGAAGGAUGGAUGCUGUGUGCUUAAGAUGCCGAUUUGGUGGAGAUUCCUGACCAGGCUGCGCACAAACCCGGCUUGUAAAACGAAGAGGAGGGGAGUAGGUGGGGCACGCGCAAAAGACGAGAAGGGACCGAAAGGGAGGAGCAAGAACGAAGCAGGGAGGGCUGAAGCGCGCGCAGAAGCGCGUUCCCGUUUCCCCCUACUGCCACGCCGCCCAGCGCUUCCUGCGGCUUCUCUGCGUGCGCCUGCCCAGCAAGCAAAUUGACGCUAGAGAAGGAAAAAAAGGGGGCGGUGCCAAGUCGGAUCCGGCGUAUAGAGAGAAGGAAUGGGAUGGCCAGUGCUUCCGGGUUUGCCGCUCUAGGUUCCUCCUCUUCUUCUUCGUUUUCUUGGUUUACUGGCGUUGCAAGACUGCCUUCGAGCCCUGUGAACUUGGUAUGAUUUCAAGAGCGGUGUUCCUGGCAGACACUCUGCUUGAUUGGUUUUUGCAGCUCCUGGCUCGGUGCCCGUUGGUACUCCCUCUGAUUACAAGAAAGCGGCUUUACUGGGGCAGAUGCUGUUCCUGAGAGAAUAAUCACCAAAGCCUAAAUGGACUAAGACUCCUACUUUUUCCAUCUAAGCUAGAGCCUAUGUUUCCUGAACAUAUGAAGGUCAGGGAUUAGUAGAUUCCUGCAUAUCCACCAUUACUGAGCUUUAACCUCUAGCAGAGGCAGCAUGGCAGAUUCUGUUCCUGAGAGGAUCAUCACCAAAAACUAAAUGGACUAAGACUCCUACUUUUUCCAUCUAAGCUAGAGCCUACGUUUCCUGGUUACCUCACUCAUGGCAGCCCUUAACAGGGUCCCCAAGUGAAGAAACUAACAGCUGUGCUUACACACUGAGGAAGAAUGCUGUCAAUAGUUAACAUUUCUUCAUUCCCUCCAGAGAAAAAACAGUCACGACAUCUUGAGGAUCCCUUUCAUUAUACACUUUUGCUUUUUUCCACUUAAAAGCAAGGAAAACAUCUUUUAAGCAUGG